rnacentral:rRNA from 1 species
AUACGGAGGGUGCAAGCGUUAUUCGGAAUAACUGGGCGUAAAGGGCACGUAGGCGGUUUGGUAAGUCUGAUGUGAAAGCCCACGACUCAAUCGUGGAAGUGCAUUGGAUACUGCCAGACUAGAGUACUGGAGAGGAGAACGGAAUUCCUGGUGUAGAGGUGAAAUUCGUAGAUAUCCGGAGGAACAACGGCGGCGAAGGCGGUUCUCUGGACAGUAACUGACGCUGAGGUGCGAAAGCGUGGGGAGCAAACAGGAUUAGAUACCCCGGUAGUCC